rnacentral:rRNA from 1 species
UACGUAGGGGGCAAGCGUUUGUCCGGAAUCAUUGGGCGUAAAGAGCGUGUAGGCGGCCCGAUAAGUCCGCUGUGAAAGUCCAGGGCUCAACCCUGGAAUGCCGGUGGAUACUGUCGGGCUAGAGUCCGGAAGAGGCGAGUGGAAUUCCUGGUGUAGCGGUGAAAUGCGCAGAUAUCAGGAGGAACACCGAUAGCGAAGGCAGCUCGCUGGGACGGUACUGACGCUGAGACGCGAAAAGCGUGGGGGAGCAAACAGG